rnacentral:rRNA from 1 species
CUACAGGGGAUGCGAGCGUUAAUCGGAAUUACUGGGCGUAAAGAGUACGUAGGCGGUUGCUUAAGUCAGAUGUGAAAGCCCCGGGCUCAACCUGGGAACUGCAUUUGAAACUGAGUGACUAGAGUUUAAGAGAGGGGAGUAGAAUUCCGGGUGUAGCGGUGAAAUGCGUAGAGAUCCGGAGGAAUACCAGUGGCGAAGGCGGCUCCCUGGCUUAAAACUGACGCUGAGGUACGAAAGCGUGGGUAGCAAACAGGAUUAGAAACCCUAGUAGUCC